AGUAUUCAUGUGGAACAUUGGCCUGUAGUUUUCUUAUUUUGAUGUCUCUGUCUGAUUUUGGUAUCAGGGUAAUACUGGCCUCACAGAAUGAAAUGCUUUGAUGUCUUAAAUGGUACAUCCAAACUUAAGUGAAAUAGAGCUGUGAGGACAUUUUGGGGAGAAGUGACCUAGAUAAGCACUGACUGUUGCAUUCAUCUCUCUUCUUGCUGAUUGUGAUGAUUUCCUGUGCCAUAGCCAUUCAAAGUCUGCCAAAAAAGAGUGGAGAAGGAGCAGUUUUUCCAUUUCCCUGAAAAGAAUUGAGUGAAGUUGACAGCAGGAUUGCAGAAGUGGGAGGACCCAAGAGCUAUGCCACGUGUACCUCCUGCCUGAUGUCUUCCCAGAUGUAUACUUCAGGAAGAAUUAAAUAUUCCUGCAAUUCUGGUUUCACAAAAUAUUAUAUGUAGUUCUAUUAAUUUCCAUUCCAUUGUAUUUUCAUUGCUCUUUUCAUGACUUUAUUUCCCAUAGUUUCAUGAAAACAGGAAUUAAAUCAACUUGAGAGGUUUUCCAAGAAUAUAAAAUAAAACAAAUAGAUGAAAGUGAUGAAAGAAAAUAUGAAAGAUGUGGAGGACAGAAAACACACAUCUAAUAUAAGGAUUCUGGGUUUUUUUUUCUGGACAAGAAAUCAAAAUAACAGGAAGAGAAGAAAUAACAUAAUUACAGAAAAUUUUGUGGAACUGAAAAAUGUUUACUUAUGAAAUUGGAAAACCUCAGCAAAUUCUUGGCAAUACUAAUAAAAAAGAAUUUGCAUGUUAUUUGGGUAAAAAUAUAGGACAGCAAGAAGAAACAAAAAACAGGCUGGAUUUUCAUUUUUCUGCCAUAGUUACACUUUUUCAAGGAGAAAUGUUGAGAUAUAAGCAUUUUAUUCACAAAUUAGUUUUUCCUAUAUGAAAGCAAUAGAAAACUAUCAUCAGAUAGGCAAGGGUUCAGAAAAUACGUCAUAAACAUUUUGAAAAAAAUGUCCUAAUAUGUAGUUCACCUUAACUGUGCUAUGAAUGAAAAUAAAUGCUCAAAGUAGGAUGAGCAAUGACGGCAGGUGGUCCAUCAGAAGAAGCCACUAGGGGGACACCAGCUGCAGCAGGGGAGGUGUGGGCCAGGGCUGCAUACUCAAUGGAGCUGGCAGGCCAGAGACAACACUGCUGAGUUGGUGGGGUGGGAACCCUGCUCUCCCAGCUGGGUGGCUGCAGCUGCAGACCGGGCAUCUGUGUACUCCCAGGGACCCAGAAAGCCCCCCAUUUC
rnacentral:lncRNA from 1 species